CCUGCUGAGCACUUCGGUUCGGACGCCGGGACGAUGGUUUUAUGCUGGGUCAUGUGGUAGCUCUGAUUCGAACCUGUCGCGGAGCCCCCCAUCCUGUCUCCCAUGAUCCAGCCAGCCCUCUCGGCCAUGAGGAGCACUGGCGUGUGCGAGGCCCUCCCGGCAUGCCACACAGUGCUGAGAACACGAGCUGCCCUCCCGAAUCUUCCAAGUCCCAUCAAAGAGACACCGCUGUUAUUCCCUCGUGUGGAGAGAAAACUGCUCCAGAGAGGCCUCGUGCCCUUCCUCCAGGUUAUUCCGCUGCUUCCAGGACUGGGAAGGACACGCUUGCAGAAAGCGUCCACUAUGGAGCGGCAUGGGCCCGCACCUCUGGGGACUCCAGUUUCCUGCCUGGAAAGCAGACGGUAAUAGUCCCUAGGGGCCAGCACAGACAAGCAGGAUGCAAAUGGAGCCACUGCUGACUAGGCCAGU